UUUGGUCCUUACUACUGUAAAUAUUUAAUCUCAUUAUAUUUAUACACUAUUGUGCAGGAUGCCUGGAUCAGCUGCCUCUCUUGGGGACCUAUUUCAUGUAUUUUGCAUACUUCUAUAUUUUUCUUCCGCAUGAAUUUCUUGGGUCACUAGUGAAUACUGUGUCUGCCAACAAGUCAAAUCCUGUAAAAAUACCUCCUCCUUUCUCUGAUUUUACUUGACCUUUUCUCUUAGCCUUCUCACAGAUAUGAUAAGGAAGGGUGAUAAGAGUGAUCCACCUGGGCCCUUCCCAGAAAAGAAGUCUGAAAGCUAAGUUAAGUCACCUUAGCCUCAUCAAAGAGAAAACAGAUCACUGAGGAGCAUGUGGGCAUUCUUCAGAGGACCAAGUCAAGAAACGUUCUGUCAUCCAAGGAACUGCAUUAGAUCAUAUCUGGUGAUCAUGCACUGACUCCAUAGCAGAAUCCAAGACUGGGCCUUCCUGCCUGCCUCCCCACAGACUCCCUCCAGCUAUACCACUUGUACUUAGUGUAUCCAUCUCUGAGCGGAUUGCAAAAGGGAAGGAAUCUUCUUUAAAAGAGAGGCAUGGACUUCUAGCUCUUCUCUCCCCACAGUUGUAUCCAGGGGUGUGCUUGUAAACUCUUGUUGCUCCCCAGAAGACUGUGCAAUGCCUCAUUCUCCCAUUGAGUUUAAAAUUUUGCCUUGACCUGAGAGACACUGGGGGAGAUCAUUGUCUGCCACUAAGAGGAAAAAAAUACUUUGUUGAAACAAAGGAAAUUUCAGAGAUGAGGAUUAAGUUUGAGCAACCAUUUGUUGAAGCAAAGAAGAAAGAUAGUUGGAAAUUAAAAGAAAUUUGACCAAAUUCAGAACUCUCCAAAAUGGAAGGCAACUGGAGAUAAUGUGGUCCAGUUCCAUACCUAAAUCAAAGUCAAUGCAGAUUAGGUUGUUCAGGCCCAUGUCCAGUUGAGUUUUGGAUCUCCUCAAGGAUGGGAAAAUCACAACCCCUCUGAGAAGGCUUUGACUACCCUCACAGCCCCAAAGAUUUUAUUUAAUACAGAAAUUGAACUUCCUGUAUUUCAAUCUGUAGGAC